rnacentral:rRNA from 1 species
UGAGGAAUAUUGCGCAAUGGGCGAAAGCCUGACGCAGCGCCGCCGCGUGAGGGAAGAAGGCCUUCGGGUCGUAAACCUCUGUCUAGAGGGAAGAAACCAUUGAGGUCGAACAGGCCUCUUUGCUGACGGUACCUCUGAAGGAAGCACCGGCUAACUCCGUGCCAGCAGCCGCGGUAAUCCGGCGGGUGCGAGCGUUAAUCGGAAUCACUGGACGUAAAGCGCACGUAGGCGGUGUCGUAAGUCGGAUGUGAAAGCCCUCGGCUCGACCGGGGAACUGCAUUCGAGACUGCGAUGCUUGAGUGCCGGAGAGGGUGGCGGAAUUCCAGGUGUAGGAGUGAAAUCCGUAGAUAUCUGGAGGAACACCAGUGGCGAAGGCGGCCACCUGGCCGGCAACUGACGCUGAGGUGCGAAAGCGUGGGGAUCAAACA